rfam:Klebsormidium nitens mitochondrial DNA, scaffold: kfl01814, whole genome shotgun sequence.
GCGGCUAUGGCGAAAUUGGUAUACGCACCAGGCUUAGGACUUGGCGGGUUAUCCAUGGGGGUUCGAGUCCCUCUAGCCGUA